GCUACCGUGGUGUGGUGGUAUCACGUUCCCUUCACAUUCUCUGUGUACGGGAAAGGCCUCGAGUUCGAUCCUCGACGGUAGUA